AGGACGAACGCUGGCGGCGUGCCUAAUACAUGCAAGUCGAACGGUCUUUCUAUGGAAGCUUGCUUCCACUGAGAAGAUAGUGGCGAACGGGUGAGUAACACGUGGGUAACCCGCCCAUAAGAGGGGGAUAACAUCCGGAAACGGGUGCUAAUACCGCAUAGUUUUCUUGAUCGCAUGAUCGGGAAAGGAAAGACGGCCUUUGUGCUGUCGCUUAUGGAUGGACCCGCGGCGUAUUAGUUAGUUGGUGAGGUAACGGCUCACCAAGACGAUGAUACGUAGCCGACCUGAGAGGGUGAUCGGCCACAUUGGGACUGAGACACGGCCCAAACUCCUACGGGAGGCAGCAGUAGGGAAUCUUCCGCAAUGGACGAAAGUCUGACGGAGCAACGCCGCGUGAGUGAAAGAAGGUUUUCGGAUCGUAAAACUCUGUUGUCAGAGAAGAACAAGUUGGAGAGUAACUGCUCCAGCCUUGACGGUAUCUGACCAGAAAGCCACGGCUAACUACGUGCCAGCCGCCGC
rnacentral:rRNA from 1 species